UGUAGUAGCCAGUGACACCCUUGAAGUCGGGAUCCUCAAACCUCCAUGUUCCAAGUGCUGCACUUACAGGCGUGUGACAUCUUGCUGAGCUUAAAACCUUGAGGGAGCUGACAAUCCGGAAUGAUGGAGCCUUCUGUGUGACUUUAAGGGUGUGCCCUGGAGACUAUUCAAGCUGUAGCUGAAUGUUGACCUGUGCUGUUGGAGGCAGUUCCAGGAGAUUGGCUCAGCUGACACAGAGUUUGAUGAGAGAUUUCCAAGACAGAAUCAGAGAUCCUUUCAAGUGGUUUAGAGAAAACUUGUUUCUCUGCACUCAAGAAAUGCUUACCAUCUCUUAAAGGACGGCUCUCUGUCCUUUGUGGAAUGCACAUCACUGAGUGAAGAGAACAAUUCCUGGGAGAGAGUGUGUUGCACUUUCGUUUCCAGCACCAGUUCUGUGCACGGAGCAAGUAACCCCAAGCACACCUAUCAGGAAACUGGAAAGCCACUCAGUCCUUCAGGUGUUUCUCAAGACCUACUAGACAUGGCAUUGGACUAUGUAUGCGGAUGGUGGCAGAAUCUUUGCUGAUGGUGCCAUCACACCCAACAGCAGGAGAAAGGAGCUAGCCGAUGCCUCUGUGCUGUGAAAGGCUCUGCCUUAUUCUUGUCUCCAGUAGCCCAGCAUGAUGCUGAGCUUCUGUUGGGAGCCAGACUAUGCCAUGAAUGAUGGAGUUUCAGGCUUUGCUAUGCCUGGAACAUGUUGCUCAGUGGGAGGCAGGCGUCUUGUUUUCUUUUACUCCCAUUUGGCCAGAGCAUCUCAUUAUGUAAGACCGCC
rnacentral:lncRNA from 1 species